GUGCUCGCUUUGGCAGCACAUAUGCUAAAACUGGAAUGAUACAGAGAAGAUUAGUAGGGCCCCUGUGCAUGGAUGACACACAAAUUUGUGAAAUGUUCCAUACUUAA
ensembl:snRNA U6 U6 spliceosomal RNA